AGGCGUCGAGCGGCGGACGGGUGAGUAAUGCAUAGGAAUCUGCCCGAUAGUGGGGGAUAACCUGGGGAAACUCAGGCUAAUACCGCAUACGUCCUACGGGAGAAAGCAGGGGAUCUUCGGACCUUGCGCUAUCGGAUGAGCCUAUGUCGGAUUAGCUAGUUGGUGAGGUAACGGCUCACCAAGGCGACGAUCCGUAGCUGGUCUGAGAGGAUGAUCAGCCACACUGGGACUGAGACACGGCCCAGACUCCUACGGGAGGCAGCAGUGGGGAAUAUUGGACAAUGGGGGAAACCCUGAUCCAGCCAUGCCGCGUGUGUGAAGAAGGCCUUCGGGUUGUAAAGCACUUUCAGCGAGGAAGAAGGCCUGGGGGCUAAUACCCCUCAGGAAGGACAUCACUCGCAGAAGAAGCACCGGCUAACUCCGUGCCAGCAGCCGCGGUAAUACGGAGGGUGCGAGCGUUAAUCGGAAUUACUGGGCGUAAAGCGCGCGUAGGUGGCUUGAUAAGCCGGUUGUGAAAGCCCCGGGCUCAACCUGGGAACGGCAUCCGGAACUGUCAGGCUAGAGUGCAGGAGAGGAAGGUAGAAUUCCCGGUGUAGCGGUGAAAUGCGUAGAGAUCGGGAGGAAUACCAGUGGCGAAGGCGGCCUUCUGGACUGACACUGACACUGAGGUGCGAAAGCGUGGGUAGCAAACAGGAUUAGAUACCCUGGUAGUCCACGCCGUAAACGAUGUCGACUAGCCGUUGGGGUCCUUGAGACCUUUGUGGCGCAGUUAACGCGAUAAGUCGACCGCCUGGGGAGUACGGCCGCAAGGUUAAAACUCAAAUGAAUUGACGGGGGCCCGCACAAGCGGUGGAGCAUGUGGUUUAAUUCGAUGCAACGCGAAGAACCUUACCUACCCUUGACAUCGUGCGAACUUUCCAGAGAUGGAUUGGUGCCUUCGGGAACGCACAGACAGGUGCUGCAUGGCUGUCGUCAGCUCGUGUUGUGAAAUGUUGGGUUAAGUCCCGUAACGAGCGCAACCCUUGUCCCUAUUUGCCAGCGAUUCGGUCGGGAACUCUAGGGAGACUGCCGGUGACAAACCGGAGGAAGGUGGGGACGACGUCAAGUCAUCAUGGCCCUUACGGGUAGGGCUACACACGUGCUACAAUGGUCGGUACAAAGGGUUGCAAUGCCGCGAGGUGGAGCUAAUCCCAUAAAGCCGGUCUCAGUCCGGAUCGGAGUCUGCAACUCGACUCCGUGAAGUCGGAAUCGCUAGUAAUCGUGAAUCAGAAU
rnacentral:rRNA from 1 species